AUGCUGGCACACGAGGUUUUCUCUCGGCUCCUUCUCACUGAGCAACGGGUCGAGACUCGCCGCACCAGGGGCACUGGCUCCCUCUCGGCCAACGCCGCCACCAAGGGUGGCCGCUCUUCUUCAUCACCCCGGUCUCCCUUGGGGCUGCCACCGUCGCCCGCCUCGGCCCCUCCACCUACUGCGACCUUACCGGGGGCUGGCGGUCCACGUGUGUGUCAGCUUUGUGGCCGCGAUGGGCACUGGGCCUCCAAGUGUCAUAAGCGCUUCCAGCGAAGCUUCCUUGGUCUUGGCAAUGACGGCAAAGAUACACGCAACAAUGCCCGUCAGGUCGCCAUGGCUGAUCGUCCCGCGCCGCAGAAGCAACAGGGACACACUCAGUCCUACUCCAUCGAUCCACACUGGUACAUGGACUCUGGGGCGACAGAGCAUCUAACCAGCGAGAUGGGGAAGCUUCACACUCGUGAACCCUAUCAUGGCUCCGACAAGAUCCACACCGCCAAUGGAGCAGGAUCGGGCCACGAGGGACAUUCUUCUUAG
rnacentral:rRNA from 1 species